GGCUAAGUGGGAAUCAAGGGAAGCUUCAAGGGAGGCAUGAAAACUCUUCAAGGCACGUAUCUCGUCAGAGGAGAUCCUUAAGUCAGCUUGAGCUUGAAUCAAGCUUUGCACUAACUCCCGUGCAUAUUCUUCUUUCUUCUCCACAAGUGCCUUAAGCUCUCUGAUUUCUUCACUGGCCUUUGAUAAUUGUUCUGAAAAUGAGC
rnacentral:lncRNA from 1 species